GGGCGUAAGCGAGCGCAGGCGGUUUCUUAAGUCUGAUGUGAAAGCCCCCGGCUCAACCGGGGAGGGUCAUUGGAAACUGGGAGACUUGAGUGCAGAAGAGGAGAGUGGAAUUCCAUGUGUAGCGGUGAAAUGCGUAGAUAUAUGGAGGAACACCAGUGGCGAAGGCGGCUCUCUGGUCUGUAACUGACGCUGAGGCUCGAAAGCGUGGGGAGCAAACAGGAUUAGAUA
rnacentral:rRNA from 1 species